rnacentral:rRNA from 1 species
UCUGCUCAGGACGAACGCUGGCGGCGUGCCUAAUACAUGCAAGUCGAGCGGACUUUAAAAGCUUGCUUUUAAAGUUAGCGGCGGACGGGUGAGUAACACGUGGGCAACCUGCCUGUAAGACUGGGAUAACUUCGGGAAACCGGAGCUAAUACCGGAUAAUCCUUUUCCUCUCAUGAGGAAAAGCUGAAAGACGGUUUACGCUGUCACUUACAGAUGGGCCCGCGGCGCAUUAGCUAGUUGGUGAGGUAACGGCUCACCAAGGCGACGAUGCGUAGCCGACCUGAGAGGGUGAUCGGCCACACUGGGACUGAGACACGGCCCAGACUCCUACGGGAGGCAGCAGUAGGGAAUCUUCCGCAAUGGACGAAAGUCUGACGGAGCAACGCCGCGUGAGUGAUGAAGGUUUUCGGAUCGUAAAACUCUGUUGUUAGGGAAGAACAAGUACAAGAGUAACUGCUUGUACCUUGACGGUACCUAACCAGAAAGCCACGGCUAACUACGUGCCAGCAGCCGCGGUAAUACGUAGGUGGCAAGCGUUGUCCGGAAUUAUUGGGCGUAAAGCGCGCGCAGGCGGUCCUUUAAGUCUGAUGUGAAAGCCCACGGCUCAACCGUGGAGGGUCAUUGGAAACUGGGGGACUUGAGUGCAGAAGAGAAGAGUGGAAUUCCACGUGUAGCGGUGAAAUGCGUAGAGAUGUGGAGGAACACCAGUGGCGAAGGCGACUCUUUGGUCUGUAACUGACGCUGAGGCGGAA